rnacentral:misc_RNA from 1 species
GAUGAAGAACGUAGCGAAAUGCGAUACGUAAUGUGAAUUGCAAAUUCAGUGAAUCAUCGAGUCUUUGAACGCACAUUGCGCCCCCUGGUAUUCCGGGGGGCAUGCCUGUCCGAGCGUCAUUGCUGCCCUCAAGCACGGCUUGUGUGUUGGGCCCCGUCCUCCGAUCCCGGGGGACGGGCCCGAAAGGCAGCGGCGGCACCGCGUCCGAUCCUCGAGCGUAUGGGGCUUUGUCACCCGCUCUGUAGGCCCGGCCGGCGCUUGCCGAACGCAAAUCAAUCUUUUCCAGGUUGACCUCGGAUCAGGUAGGGAUACCCGCUGAACUUAAGCAUAUCAAUAAGCGGAGGA